UGCUGCUGUGAAUAGCUAGUUGGCAAAUGUUGUAUUGAACACAGCCACUUUGAAAACCCUGGGCCAGGACCAUUUGAUAAUUAACCGCACACAACUACACGGGGAAGGACCAAUCCUCUGUGGAAUCUGCCACUGGAAUAUUGUCACUGCUGUCAUCUGGGAUUUCACAACCACAUUCAGUCGCUUUGCCUGGACUGAAACGACUCAUCUGUACAUCGACAGUUUCAUUCUUGACCCACUCACUUCCUGCUUCUCGGUAGAAUGGUUUUAACUCAUUUGUACCUCACUAGUCAGUCAAUUAAUUGAGCGAGCGGGCAAUAGAACAGCGAGGACGUUGAACAUCCUCAAUCAGUCCCAGAGGAUUGCCGGAAAAAUGGGAAAAAUAAAAUCCACGUGAGCAGCGAUACAUUAGAUUGACCAGAAAGCCCAAAUGGGUAAAAUGGCAGUGCUGAUCAUUUAGAUUCAUUAAGUUUCUAGUGGAAAUAAUGGAGACAGAAAUACAUUGAUACAGCUUCAUGUUGGAAGGAACUGCAGAUGCUGCUUUAUACCGAAUAUAGACAAGUAACUGGGCGGGAGUAACUGGGCGGGACAGCAGCAUCUCUGGAGAGAAGGAAUGGGUGACAUUUCAUGUCAAAGAAGUCUGGGUCUGAAGAAGGGUCUCGACAUGAAACAUCACCCAUUCUUUCUCACCAGAUGCUGCCUGUCCCGCUGAGUUAUUCCAGCAUUUUGUGUCUCUCUUCAUUAUUCAUUACGUUUCUAUGUCCUUGUAAAAUCUAAAGCAGAACAGACUGGUACAGUCUAAUAAAUGGUUGUAGGAGUGGAAUAUCACCCGUUAGAAAUUUAAAACCAUACAAAGAAUAUAUUACUCAAAAACUAAAAUAAGUAAACGUUUUCCAAAUGUCUCCCCCAUCUGUGAUAAAUGUCUAUCCCAUGAAGCAACUAUAGCACAUUCCUUUGUUUUUUGUAGAAAAAUCCAAACAUUUUGGAAUGAAUGUUUUGAAAUAUUAAAAAAAUUAUUUCAAAUAAAACUGAAACCGAACGCAGAAUUGAUUAUUUUUGGAACCAUGGAAGGCAGCCCUGAGCUAACUGCAUCCCAAAAGAGCCGACUUAAUUACGGUUUAAUAAUGGGGAAAAAACUCAUACUUAAAUUAUGGAAAAACACCCCAACACCAACAAUAUUUAUGUGGAUUUCAAAUAUGUUCGAAACGUUACACCUGGAAGAUAUGAGAUUCCUUCUAGCAGGCAAACCAGACUAUUUCCAAAAGAUUUGGUCUCCAUUUCUCGACUUACUACAAGUAUAAGGUGCAACAGAAUUCUGAAAAUAAAUGGUUUCAGGACCUGGUGAGGGGGGAGGAAAAAUACAAAGUUGGUUUAUCCCUUGUAGCUCUGUUUUUUAAACUUUUAAUAUAUCUUCUGUUUUCUUUUUCUCUUUUUCUUUUUCUAUGGCUUGCUUCUUAACUCUUUUUCGAACUUUUCAUGUCUAAGGGUCUCUUUUGAUCACUCUUUCACACACUUACUAUCCUGUUUAACUCUCUUUACUUUUCUUCUUUUCAAAGUUUAAAAUAUAAAGUGGUGCAGGAAAUGUAUAAUGUUAUUUUUGGCUUAUAACCAUAUAACCAUCUAACAAUUACAGCACGGAAACAGGCCAUCUUGGCCCUACAAGUCCGUGCCGAACAACUUUUUUCCAUUAGUCCCACCUGCCUGCACUCAUGCCAUAACAUGUUACCCCUAAACUUCUGUCCCUUAAUUCUGAAGUCAUGUCCUCUUGUUUGAAUCUUCCCUAUUCUCAAAGGGAAAAGCUGAUCCACAUCAACUCUGUCUAUCCCUCUCAUCGUUUUAAAGACCUCUAUCAAGUCCCCCCUUAACCUUCUGUGCUCCACAGAAUAAAGACCUAACUUAUUCAACCUUUCUCUGUAACUUAGUUGUUGAAACCCAGGCAACAUUCUAGUAAAUCUCCUCUGUACUCUCUCUAUUUUGUUGACAUCUACAUUACUAAAACUCAGUUCUUGACCGCGUUUCCCGAUCUGUGCUGCGAUUUCCGAGAGAACGCCGCCACCUACGGCCGUCAUUUUUGGCCACCUCCCUCAGAGCCCCCCUCUGCCGCAUGUGUGCCGAGGAGUUGUCCCCUCGAUGAAAAAUGACCGAGAUAUUAAUGUUUUUACAUCAUUCCCCAUUCUCUCUGCUGCCCCCGCUGGCGGCAGGGGAGAGAGGGGCUAUAAAACCCCGGAAGCGAUCCGCUUCAACUCACUUUCUUGCCGGCCACGAAGAGAAAGGAUCACGGCUCUCUGAGCUGCAGCUCUGCUCCCAGGUGAGUGCUUUUUCACCCAAUUGAUAUGUAUGUUAUUCACCAUGCUCUGAAGUUUCUUGGCAUUUUGUUGGAAAGAGUUUGUAUAUUUGUCUACUAUCUAUAUUGUGUUUGAACUGUGAAUUGAAAAUAAAAAACAUUUGUAUAUUUGUCUAUCUAUACUGUGUUUGAACUGUGAAUUGAAAAUAAAAACCAUUGUAUAUUUGUCUAUCUAUACUGUGUUUGAACUGUGAAAUGAAAAUACAAACCAUUUGUUAUUGAUGUAAAGCGUUUUGCAAAUUUUGUUUCUCUUGGGUUUUCAAAUGGUUGCACCGGUUUUGAGGUAACUAAAGCAUGAUGUCUAUUGUGUUUGAAAUGGUGAUGUAAAUUGAAAUGCAUUUGUUGCAACGUUUUCAGGCCAGUAAUGCGCGAAAGAUACUUUUUAUUUCGAUCAGACUGUGUUUAAAUUUAAAAUUGGCGGACAUUUUGUGGUUUUGGCGGUUUGAAGAUUGCGGCGAUGACGUCAUUUCCGACGAUCGGUAAGAUGGCGGCGAUGACGUCAUUUCCGGCGAGCCGCGAAGUGAAAGUGUCACGGCUCUCUGAACUGCAGCUCUGCUCCCAGGCCAGUAAUGCGCGAAAGAUACUUUUUAUUUCGAUCAGCACUGUGUUUAAAUUUAAAAUUGGCGGACAUUUCGUGAUUGUGGCAGUUUGAAGAUGGUACGAUGACGUCAUUUCCGGCGAUUGGUAAGAUGGCGGCGAUUACGUCAUUUCCGGUCAGAGGCAAGAUGGCGCUGAAGACGUGCACGAGGUGUUGAAUGAUUCUACAGAACUGGAAAUAAUGAUCAAGAGGCAGUGAGCAGCAGAACACAACAAGACGCAACAAGACACAACAAGUAAAAAUUUAAUAAAUCUCAUCUUUAAAAUUUAAAUUGUACUUAUAUUUUAAGAGUCAUUUACAUUUUAUACUUUAA